UCUCUCUCUCUCGAAAUACUUUCCCUUGUCCAAUAAUCAACUGCCAACCCCACCUGAAAAAGCGGGAACUCUGCUUUUUCUCUCUUUCUUCUCGUUUUUCUGAAGAAAAAAACUGGCCACCAAAAUAAAGCAACUGCCUGCCCCAUUUUCUUUCUUUAAUUUGACUCUCUCUUGCUGGUAGCAGUAUCAGUGCCAUCCUAUUUUCAAAAGGAAAAAAUAAAAUCGAAACAACCCAAGGGAAAAAAAAUGUCGAAAGAGCAAAAGGAAAGCUCUGUAUCAAUCAUCAACACCACCCUACAGGCCCAGGUAAAACCCUUCUCUCAGAGGAUAAAUAAUCAUUGCACCUAUGUACACAUGCAAUUUACAUAUGAAGUUCCACACCCACACACACUCUCUUUCCCUCUCAUUGUUAAUGUAGAGGAAUCUCUCAUAAGUUUGAGGAUCUAGGAUUUUUGGGGAUUGAUUAACAUCCCAAGAUCGGAUUUUGUGGCUUCUAUGUAUACGUGGGAAUUGCAGGACAAAGAGGAGGAGAGGGAACUGGACCUAGGAUCCGACGAGCCUGACACGCCUUUACCUCUCACUGUUACUUCCCGGGUAAAUCAUGUGUUGUUUUUCCUGGUUACUCUCAGCUUGCAAGAAAGAGGAAAUGAUAGAAUUAUGGUGUUCUAAAUGAAUAACAUUUACGCAUUUGGAAAUGGGAAAUUAUGUAAUAUGCAGGUGUUGUAUAUGUUGGGAGAUAUAACGGUGGGUUCUGCACAUCGGUUUGCUCAAUGGCUGGAGUUGGUUCGUAAGAGAAGCGGGAAAUAUCGUGCCUCGGGGUUCCCCCGCCGCCCUCACGGGCUUGACACCAUGCCCUCUGGGUCUUCCAUCUUGCUCUCUUAUCAUUACUCAUUGCCGUAAAAUUGCUAUGACAAAUCUAAUUAUGAUAGUUUAAGUAUUAAUUUACUUAAUUGUUUGGCAAUUUAAUUAAUGGUAUCAUAGGUUGCAAUUUGGACUAGACUUUGUGAUAUCUGGAACUGAUUUCAUAUUCAAUUAUGACUUGAUUGCUAAAAUUAUUAGUUUGGGGUACUUGCCUAUUUAAAACUGAGUGGCCAUUAUUGGAAUUCAAUCAAGGAUUUGGGCGUUGGCUAUUGAACUAGAUUUUGGACCGGAGGAAUGACAUAAGGGUGGGAGAUUUGCAAAUCUAAAGUUAUAUUUGUAAUUCAAAUGUAGUUGUAAGAGAAAAUUAUUUAGUGUAUCCGUUGCAUGUGCACCUUUACUCACAAUGAUGCAGAUCCUAUUUUCUAUAAUUUAAGGAGAAUCUAAUUUUUUGAGUGAAGGUGUACAUACACAUGGUGUGUUUUAUUUGCAUAUAUAAUUUGCAUGUAAUAGUGCUUCUAGAAAUGAUAGGAAUGCAUAACCAACACAUAAAUGAAACUUGGCUCUCUCCCAAGUGAAUUGCUUAUUUCCAUUGGAAGAAGCGCUUGAUAAUUCACCCGCCUGUUACUGUGAAAUAAGCAAAGUAAGGAGUUAUAAGAAACAUUUUGGUAGUUUAUUUAACUUAGUGUUUAUGUAAAUGGAAAAGUGACAAUAACUUUCCUUUUAACCUGCUUAUCACUACGAUUACCUUUUAGUGCACGAGAAUUGCUUGUUGAUUCAAAAAGUGAUCCUCCUCCUGAACAAGCUCAAGAGACCAGUUUAUGGGAAAGGCUUGGUAA
rnacentral:misc_RNA from 1 species